GUGAAUCAUCGAAUUUUUGAACGCAAAUUGCACUCUUUAGUAUUCCGGAGGGUAUGCUUGUUUGAGGGUUAUUCCAAUCAAAUCGUUUUGUUAGGAGUCGGGACUGGGGGUUCCAAGGUUUCAUGAUUUUGGUAACUUGAAAUUCAUAUUAACGAUAGCGUUGUAAUGAUAUUGGAAGUGAUUGUAUUCUUACUACGCGUGAGUUUCAUUAACAAACUUUU
rnacentral:misc_RNA from 1 species